GACGGGGGUCCUAGCGUUGUUCGGAAUCAUUGGGCGUAAAGGGUGUGCAGGUGGUUUUGUAAGUUAGAUGUGAAAGCCUUGGGCUUAAACCCAAGAAGUGCAUUUAAAACUACAAAACUUGAGUAUGGAAGAGGUCGUGGAAUUCCAGGUGUAGUGGAUGAAAUACGGUAGAUAUCUGGAGGAACACCGGUGGCGAAAGGCGGCGACCUGGUCCUAUACGAUGACACUGAGGAGCGAA
rnacentral:rRNA from 1 species